ensembl:lncRNA SMANTIS SMARCA4 interacting SWI/SNF chromatin remodeling complex scaffold lncRNA
ACUACUGCUUAGCAACCUGCUCGGGACCCCUCUCUGUGACUGUGAGCUGUUCUGUUCUUUUGCCUAUUAAACUCCUGCUCCAAACUCACUCGAUGUGUGUGUGCAUGUCCUUGACCUCAAUAUCUGGUCGUGUGACCAAGAACCUCAGUAUUCACCCCAGACAACAAGGCUGCUUCAUUUUGAGGGCUCGUCUGGGAUUUGAAGGUGACUUCAUCAGAAUGGCGCAGUAAGAUUGAGGAGCUAAAAACAGACUUGGGUGGAUGUCUGCAGCUGCAAGAAGAUGUGUGGGAACAGACACAGAAACUCUCCCUCCCAGAUAAGCAAGACAAAGAAACACAGAAUAAGAGUCCAUCUAUGUGGUCAGAGAAUGGGAUAAGAGCUGAUUUAAAAAAACUCUGCUCUAUAUAGAAGGCACACCUGGUCCCAACCAAACCACUGGACCCUAGGAGGAUAAGACCUCCUCUGCUCAUGAGCCCCCUCCUCAGUAGCCCAUUUAUAAAAACCCUGACAAUUUUACUACCACUUGGCAACCCGCUCGGGACCCCUCUCUGUGAUGGAGAGCUGUUCUUUUCUUUUGCCUAUUAAACUCCUGCUCCAAACUCA